CAGGGACAAAGGAAGAAAAACUCCAGUUGUUAGCUGCUAUCGUGCUAAUAAUAAACAAGUGAGUCUAGAUGUGGACAAUUCAGAAGCAUCGCAGACGCCUCAUUUGGCUUCUAUGACAACACAACCCUUCCUUUGGUGAGUGAAAAUGAAGAAAUGAGUAUUACUUUAAUUUCCUUCUGGAAAAGAAUCAGUAGUUCACGUAUUGUAGCGACUUGAGCCUGGGGAGGGAAGGAGGAAUUCAGUGGCCUGAAAGAUGCUCGGUGAGGCAAAGGCAAACGAAAUUUAUUCUUGUGAAUGUUCAGUUAGUGACCUAACAUCUCCUCCCAGUCGGGCCAGUAGGUGACCUCAACAGCACCCAGAGAGCGUCCUCCCACAGGAGUUAAUGAAGGACACGGCCUCUGGCUUCAUCACUUUGUGCCGAGGACUGACAGAGACAGAAGCAUUUUCUAGACAGUUGGGAGGGCUUUGCAGCUGUGAACUGAGUAAUUCUUACAGGUCUAAUCAUAAAAGUAUCCAGAGUUGUAUGUGACAAAAGUAACAAAAAGUUGUAUGUGAUUAUAAACAACUCGAGGAUAAAAGAAAGUGUUUUUAGAUGUGGUUGCAUCUAUUUCUCAUAAACACUAAAACUGUAUCAUUUUCUCCUUUUGCUAUCUCUUCUUUUCCCCCAUUUGUUAUCCCUUAUAAUCAGCCCUCCCACACACAUCCAUAACUGUUUGGAGGCCCACAUCUUCUUGGGGUCCUUUUAUCUUUGUCCUUUUCUUGGGACACAGUAGUUCACUUUGCCAUGUUCUCCUCUCUUUUACCAUUCUGCCAACUUGCUCCAAGGGUUUUCUCUGUUGGUGCCCAAGAGCCUGUGGAUUUCUGCGUCUUCUCUUGACUGCAGCAGCUGGAGGGCCGAUGCCGAGCGAAAGCACGCAGCAAAUGAAGUCUGACAUCUAUGAAACUUCCCAGACACGUAAUUCAGAGUAUGAGGUGUGAAUUUCACUACAGCAAAAUGAAGCACAAGACAAA
rnacentral:lncRNA from 1 species